AUUCCCACAACCAAUAACAAUGGGUAAUGGGUGUGGGUAAUGUAAUGAAGCAGGGUAACUAUAGUUUUGUUAUCUCCGUGAGGUGAGGCCCUUUCUUUAGUGGUUAUGGUACUGAGAAUGCAUCUUUAAGGAUUUUGAUUCUAGCUUUUUUUAUUUUUAUGGGGAGAAAUGAAGAUUGAACUAAGAAUGGCCGUGCACUUAGCCAAUGAGUGCAGCCCACAAAUAGUCGGGCUCAGAUAAUCUAAAUGGAGGUUCCUGGCAGGAGCUUUUGGUAGAAGGGAGGCAGUGACAAGCAACCAGUGUGACCCAAGUAAGUUGUCUAACCAUUCUCAAAGAAACACUAUAGGGUCAGGAAUACAAACAUGUAUUACUGACCUAUAGAGUUAAACAACCAUUUUAGUUACAAAGUCUCCCCUUGCCCUCCGUAAAUAAGUCUAAAACUUAUCUUUUUUCCAGUGGUGCAUGGGUCCACCUGUGCUAGCCCCUCCCCCACC